rnacentral:misc_RNA from 1 species
UACGCUUAUUGACAUUUCGCAAAAUCAGCUGUGCACUGGAAUAUUUAUUUACUUUUAUUUCGUGAUAAAAGUGAAUUUUACGUAAAAGUUUCAUUUCAAAAUUUAAUAUAAAACUGCCAAACUUUGUGUAUAAAAUGGAACUCGAUCCGGAUAUUGUGAAAGAAUUUGAAAAUCUCGAAGUGUCUACCGAAAAACCAACAGAGGAGCAAUUACGUGAGUUCGACGCUGAUGCGCCAUUGCAGGCACCAGCCAAAACGCAACAUCCCACUUAUUCGACGAUACCGAAAUUUUUUCAUGCGCCACCGCCACAAAACAAUGCACUGCGUCAAAAUCUGCGCAAAGAAGCACAAUCCCUCUUUCUGCAGAAACGCUCACAAGAAUUGCUGGAUAACGAUGAGCUCGGCGCAUUGUGGACUUUGCUGGAGAAACAUUGCACGCAAGUAACGCCUGUGGGACAGCAACUCAUCUGUUAUGAUGACUACCAAAAGUUGCUGGAGGCAGUGAGCACAAAAUGUCGCAAAUAUUUGACAGCACGUCUAUAUGCCAAAUUGCAGUGCCAUUCCAUGUAUCCAGGUAAAGUUGAAAUCGUUUCCAUCUUCAAUUAUACAAUGCGUAAAGUGUGGCUAACACAGGGUCGCAUAGGCCUGUCGCUCUACGAUGAAAUCGGCCAAGGUUAUCUGCGCGAAAUCGAUAUGGAGAAUUAUAUUAUUGAUAUUAUACCGACAUUAACACAGAUCAGCAGUUGCGUGCAACCUUCUUUUCAAAGUUUCUAUGUCUGCACUGUGGUGAAAAAGUUCUUCUUCUUUCUCGAUCCAUUGCAUACCGGGCGCAUACGCAUACGUGACAUACUCGCAUCGGGUCUGUUGACCGAAUUGCUAGAAUUGCGCGAUGAGGAAACGCCAAAAGAGUCGCAAGAGCAAAACUGGUUUUCCAUGCCGUCGGUGCUUACCGUUUACGGCAACUAUUUAAAUUUGGAUAAAGACCAUAAUGGUAUGCUGAGCAAACAGGAAUUGGCCGGUUAUGGCUCUGGCACACUGACUUCCGUCUUUCUUGAUCGCGUUUUCGAUGAAUGCCGUACUUUUGAUGGCGAAAUGGAUUACAAAACUUUUCUCGAUUUCGUUUUGGCGCUGGACAAUAGACACGAGCCGCAAUCGCUGCAUUAUCUCUUUCGCAUACUUGAUGUGCAACACAAAGGCUACUUGACGGCGCAAACGUUACACUAUUUCUUCAAAGGUAUACAAGAGCAAAUAAACGCAGUUAAUGCGGAAGCAGUGAAUUUCGAAGAUUUGAAAGACGAAAUAUUCGACAUGGUAAAGUCUAAGGAUCCAUACAAAAUUACACUGCAGGAUUUAAUCAAUUGUGGCCAAGCAGAAACUGUCGUCUCUAUACUCAUAGAAUUUCACAAGUUCUGGGCAUACGAAAAUCGUGAGGAUGGCUCACAUAACGUUUAAUUUCGACGCAUUCAUAUCGUAACUUAAUUAUAAGCCUAGGAUAUAAUGUAAAUCGACUUUAGAUUAAGACGAUGCAGACAGAACAGUUGAGAGGCAGAGCAAUCACUCGUAGCACCGACUUGUGCCGUUUGAACAAUAAGACUUUGAAUAUGUAAUGUGCUGCCAUUAUUAGGAUAUUCACUAAGCAGUUAAUAAGUAUCGAAACAGUGUAGUUGCGACGUUUACUCUUAAGUGAUUAAGCUUAUUUAUACACAACAACAACAAUGAACAUUCCAGCAAAACGCUACGCAGUAAUUAUUUAUAUGUGUGCCUCUUAACAAUCCCUACUGCUACUCACUACCAUAAACUAUAUCCAGAAAUCACCAAUAAAAUAUAUUUUUUCCAAUGGCUGCACAAAAGAAAAAUGCUCCGAACGAACAAAGGAGUAAUUGAGUGAACAAACUAAAGACAACAAAGAAACAGAACAGAAGCAAGCUCUGCUGAAAUUGACAAACAAAUUUCGAAAGCAAAAACAACACAACACAGCAAAUUGCAGCAAAGUGUAGUAAAUGUAGUGUCUGAAAAAACAAAACGAAAAAAGAGGAAAAGCGAAAAAGUGGAAAAUGUGGUUAGAACUGUGGUGGAACCACACUGCUAACUAUGUGAACUGAGCGCAACGGAAACGUCACAAUAAAUAGCAAAAGAAAA